rnacentral:rRNA from 1 species
AGUGAACGCUGGCGGUAGGCCUAACACAUGCAAGUCGAACGGCAGCACAGUAAGAGCUUGCUCUUACGGGUGGCGAGUGGCGGACGGGUGAGGAAUACAUCGGAAUCUACUUUUUCGUGGGGGAUAACGUAGGGAAACUUACGCUAAUACCGCAUACGACCUACGGGUGAAAGCAGGGGAUCUUCGGACCUUGCGCGAUUGAAUGAGCCGAUGUCGGAUUAGCUAGUUGGCGGGGUAAAGGCCCACCAAGGCGACGAUCCGUAGCUGGUCUGAGAGGAUGAUCAGCCCAACUGGAACUGAGACCCGGUCCAGACUCCUACGGGAGGCAGCAGUGGGGAAUAUUGGACAAUGGGCGCAAACCUGAUCCAGCCAUACCGCGUGGGUGAAGAAGGCCUUCGGGUUGUAAAGCCCUUUUGUUGGGAAAGAAAAGCAGCAGGUUAAUACCCCGCUGUUCUGACGGUACCCAAAGAAUAAGCACCGGCUAACUUCGUG